CACGAACCGGGCAAACGUUAUUCGGAAUUACUGGGCGUAAAGCGCACGUAGGCGGCUUUGUAAGUCAGAGGUGAAAUCCCGGGGCUCAACCCCGGAACUGCCUUUGAGACUGCAUCGCUUGAAUCCAGGAGAGGUGAGUGGAAUUCCGAGUGUAGAGGUGAAAUUCGUAGAUAUUCGGAAGAACACCAGUGGCGAAGGCGGCUCACUGGACUGGUAUUGACGCUGAGGUGCGAAAGCGUGGGGAGCAAACAGG
rnacentral:rRNA from 1 species